CGUUCCACCACUCCAGCCCCCACUACAGGGAUUUGGAAGAAAAUAUUUACAUGAUGAUUAUGGUGGUACAAAGGAAGUGUACUGAAUCUGAUCAUCAAAACACAACUGCAUAUCAAUAACAUCGAAGGAACAGUAAACUGAGCUUCAAUGUAUAAUAGAAUAGCUGGAAACUGGAAACAACUUAUAUGUCUCUCAACAGAAGAAUGGAUAAAGAAAAUGCAGUACACUUACACAAUACAGUAUUACUUGGACAAUUAAAAACUGAAAUCAUGAAGAUUUCAGGCAAAUGGAAUUAGGAAAGAAAGAUCACCCUGAAUGAGGGCUCAGAGAACCAGUGGAAGAGGAGAAAGAAGGAGUAUAAGAGCCAGAGGGAUGGGGGACAGCAAGAAAACAAGGCCCUGUAAACCAACGGGACUGAUGUACACAUGAACUUACAGAGACUGAGGCAUCGUGCACAGGGCUUACAUGGGUCUGCACCAGCUGGGGUCCUCUUGCUGCAAGGAGAAGCAGACACAUGCCCCGAGCCCUAACCAGAAGCAUUGAUAACCAGUCGAUGGAUAACCACUUGCAAAUGAAAACUUCGUUUUCUUCAAGGGAGUUGCACUGGGGAAACAAACGACACUGAAGGGUAGGCUGCUUGCACUGCAGUAACGACUCUGAAGGGUAGGCUGCUUGCACUGCAGUAACGACUCUGAAGGGUAGGCUGCUUGCACUUC
ensembl:lncRNA